UUGAGGCGCUCCUGUUGCUCUGGGAUCAAUUCCUUUAGCUGAGAAUGAAGGUCAAGAUGGGAAGAGCUCUGCAUCUGGAGCCAUCUAACGGAAUAGCUGAGAUUAGACUGUUGAACAGCACAAGAACGAAGUCGCGAAAACAGAGAAACGCUUCUAAAGAACACCAUCGCUUACUUACUGACACGAGUCAGAGGAGCGAUGCUAACAAGAGAAACAAGGGGAGAAAGAGAUGUGAUGAAUGAGAAGUG
rnacentral:misc_RNA from 1 species